UACGUAGGGGGCAAGCGUUGUCCGGAUUUAUUGGGCGUAAAGAGCGUGUAGGCGGCCAGGUAGGUCUGCUGUGAAAACUCGAGGCUCAACCUCGAGAUGUCGGCGGAAACCAUCUGGCUAGAGUCCGGAAGAGGAGAAUGGAAUUCCAGGUGUAGCGGUGAAAUGCGUAGAUAUCUGGAGGAACACCGGUGGCGAAGGCGGCAUCCUGGACCAAUUCUGACGCUGAGUGAGCGAAAGCCAGGGGAGCAAACGGG
rnacentral:rRNA from 1 species